CGUACACUCCUACGGGAGGCAGCAGUGGGGAAUUUUACGCAAUGGGGGAAACCCUGACGUAGCGACACCGCGUGAGCGAAGAAGCCCUUUGGGGUGUAAAGCUCUGUCAGCUGGAACGAAAACAAUGACGGUACCAGCAGAGGAAGCAUCGGCUAACUACGUGCCAGCAGCCGCGGUAAGACGUAGGAUGCGAGCGUUGUCCGGAUUUAUUGGGCGUAAAGAGUUCGUAGGUGGUUUGUUAAGUUUGGUGUUAAAGAUCGGGGCUCAACCCUGGGACUGCACUGAAUACUGGCAGACUCGAGUGUGGUAGAGGCUAGUGGAAUUCCCAGUGUAGCGGUGAAAUGCGUAGAUAUUGGGAAGAACACCGGUGGCGUAGGCGACUAGCUGGGCCAUAACUGACGCUGAGGAACGAAAGCCAGGGGAGCGAAUGGGAUUAGAUACCCCUGUAGUCC
rnacentral:rRNA from 1 species